UACGAAGGGGGCUAGCGUUGUUCGGAAUUACUGGGCGUAAAGCGCACGUAGGCGGAUAUUUAAGUCAGGGGUGAAAUCCCGGGGCUCAACCCCGGAACUGCCUCUGAUACUGGGUAUCUUGAGUUCGGAAGAGGUGAGUGGAAUUGCGAGUGUAGAGGUGAAAUUCGUAGAUAUUCGCAGGAACACCAGUGGCGAAGGCGGCUCACUGGUCCGAUACUGACGCUGAGGUGCGAAAGCGUGGGGAGCAAACAGG
rnacentral:rRNA from 1 species